GACGAACGCUGGCGGCGUGCUUAACACAUGCAAGUCGAACGCUGAAGCCCGCUUGCGGGUGGAUGAGUGGCGAACGGGUGAGUAACACGUGAGUAACCUGCCCUUCACUUUGGGAUAACCUUCGGAAACGGGGGCUAAUACUGGAUAUGACUCAUGGCCGCAUGGUUGUGGGUGGAAAGAUUCUUUGGUGGGGGAUGGGGCUCGCGGCCUAUCAGCUUGUUGGUGGGGUGAUGGCCUACCAAGGCGACGACGGGUAGCCGGCCUGAGAGGGCGACCGGGCCACACUGGGACUGAGACACGGCCCAGACUCCUACGGGAGGCAGCAGUGGGGAAUAUUGCACAAUGGGCGCAAGCCUGAUGCAGCGACGCCGCGUGGGGGAUGACGG
rnacentral:rRNA from 1 species